GCCAAGUUGGUUAAGUUUCUGACUCUUGGUUUUGGCUCAGGUCAUGAUCUCGUGGCUUUGUGGGUUCAAGUCCCACAUUGGGCU
rnacentral:tRNA from 1 species